CCUGCAUGUGGCAGGGGGUUGGAGAUUCAUCAUCCUUGAGGUCCCUUCCAACCCUGGCCAUUCUGUGAUCUGUGAGUGUGCUCAGGCGAUGGACGAUCAGCUGCUUGGCGGUGUGUCCAUCCCCAUCCCAAGGCUCAGGUUAGCAUAAACUCAGCAGGAAUUUCUUCUGUUUGUUGUGGGGCAACUGCCAGGCUUGGGAGAUUCUUGCCGAGUUCUCGGGUUGAUGCAGUGGCAGGGAAUGGGUUCUGUGACACAGCGGAGGAGGGAUUGUGCAAAAUGCUGCUCUGGCCUUGAAGUUAGCCCGUGCUGUCGCUUUGCCGGCGCAGAUCAGUGGCAAAAAGCAGAGUUAGUGAAGUGCCAUGUUAAAAGCAUUUCGUUGGCACUUGCUGACAAGCAGGAAUCCCAUUUCCGUGGGACGGAAGGGCUGCUGCAAUCCAAACAACUGCUAACGAAGUGAUUUCGGAGGAAGCGUGGCUGUGCGUGGCCCAGGCAGGACUUAGGGCUUUCUGCCCCUGAAAAGAUCUGCUGUAUCCCAUUAGCAGAGGAGAGCAGGGUGUUUGUUCCGUGGUUGGCUUGGGGACAGCAGCAGGGCUGGAACUGCAGCACACAGCAGGGAUUGCAUUGCUGUGUGACCCACCCUUCCCAGGGGGAACCGUUUCCAAGGCAGGUUUCAUCAGAGGCUGAGCAUCCAGCAGAUGACACAAAGCAGAGAAAUGCUCUCCUCUCAGGGCUGGAGGGAAGCAGGCAGCAGCAGAGCUCAGGGCGCCCUUUGUUUCUCCUGCAGGCUCGUGGAGGUUCUGCUCGGUGAGAGCAUCUCCAAAGCUUGCUGCUGGAGGCCUUUGCUCUGUCUUCCUCCACGGGAUCCUUGUGGGGACCCUCAGAGCCAUUCCCUGCACAUCUGAGCAGUGUUCUCCACCAGGCACUGCUCUUCCCAUGGGUUCCUCCACGUUGUAUUGCUGAGGCUGCCACGUUUUCAAGUGGGAACCCAACACCUUUCUUCCUUGUUCCUGCUUGCAUUAACACCUGUGUUCAGGGCGUAAAUCCUCUGAGCUCUCCUUUUCUCUGCCUCCUGCAGCCUCCGUUCCUCAGCUUGCUCUUUGUUUUACACCUCCUUCUCCCCAAAUCCUGCGCUCUUCAUGGACAUGAGCACGAGGUGAAAGUCCCAGGCUGUAACUCGUGCAUCCCUUCUGUUCUCUCGCCAAGUCCCUGCGGCGUGGAAGCUGCUGAAAAAGCUUCACUAAUGUGGCCUUUCCCCCGAGCAUCGUGGUGCCGUGGGUCCUGGUGUGAGCACUGCAUCCUGCACAGCUUGGAGCCUCUGACCUGGAACAUCUGCAGCUGCAGAGCCACACGUGGGCAAGUUUGCCUGGACCCGGAUAUCUCAGCUGGUGCUUGACGUGUCGCCAGCACGUGUCCUCAGUUCUGCUCGGUUUCGCUGCCUGUUGCUUUGCUGUUCACUCUUUAAUUUACUGCUUCCUCACCGACAGUUUUUAGCUGAGGCUCCCGCUGCUGAAAUACUGAGAUGUGGCCCAUCUGAGCAUCACAGCCUGCCUACGUCCAAGAGCUUGCAGCAAAUGAUGACACCUCACCAGCAGCAGCACCUCCUGCUGAUGUCCUCUUUGUCUCUUCUCCUCCCCCAGGGUGGGGAUGCUCACAGGGGUUUGAGACCUGGGUUUGUGUUUUGGGGUGUGCUGCAGGGGUCUCACUUCAUUCCAAGCAGUGCAGAACUGGGAUCCUGUUUGGGCAGGGUUUGCUUUUGCCCACGUCACAAUGAGAAGUGCUGUGGGAUGAUGGCAGGAAAAGCUGCCCCCCCUGGCAACUCCUGGCAUCUGCUUUCUGGCCUGCCCUUCCUCAAGAGGAGCCCUUUGGCACACAGCGAGGCUCCCGUCAUGCGGCUGAGCGUCCAUCAAGAAGCCUUCCAGCCCCCGCCUGCCCCGAUGGAAGCUGACUCUCAGCAGAGCUCCCCAAAUGCGAGAGGCCUGUGCAUUGACCUGGGAUGAACCUCUGCUCUGCAGCCAGCCCGAUUCGUUCUUCCAGCUUUGGCAGGGAGCAGAAACAAGCUGUUUUUUGUCCCAUUUCCAAAUGGCUCUACUCAUUCUCUGCGGGGAGGGCUGGAUGCCAUCCAGCUCGUUCCUUGGAGCGGAGCUUGCGAGAUUUUGCCCUUUGUCCGCCCUGCUGGCAGUGGGAGGAGGAGGAGGAGGAGGCCGUGGGGCAGAGAGGGGAGGAUGAAGAGGCAUCUGGAAGGGGUAGGACAACAGUGCUGCCCCAGAUGAAGGGGAGAGGAUGGAGCCCUCCAGCAAAUCUGUUAGCCAGGAAGGAUGUAAGGAAGGUCACCGUUUGAGCUGCUCUAAUAAAAUUUCCUGAAUUUAA